UACGUAGGGUGCGAGCGUUGUCCGGAAUUAUUGGGCGUAAAGGGCUCGUAGGCGGUCUGUCGCGUCGGAUGUGAAAAUCCAGGGCUCAACCCUGGACCUGCAUUCGAUACGGGCAGACUAGAGUUCGGUAGGGGAGACUGGAAUUCCUGGUGUAGCGGUGAAAUGCGCAGAUAUCAGGAGGAACACCGGUGGCGAAGGCGGGUCUCUGGGCCGAAACUGACGCUGAGGAGCGAAAGCGUGGGGAGCAAACAGG
rnacentral:rRNA from 1 species